rnacentral:tRNA from 2 species
GGGGUUAUAGCUCAGCUGGGAGAGCGCUUGAAUGGCAUUCAAGAGGUCAGCGGUUCGAUCCCGCUUAGCUCCACCA